UCCCUGGUGGCUCAGAUGGUAAAGCAUCUGCCUGCAGUGCAGGAGACCUGGGUUCAAUCCCUGGAUUGGGAA
rnacentral:tRNA from 1 species